UGGGGAAUCUUGCGCAAUGGGCGAAAGCCUGACGCAGCCAUGCCGCGUGAAUGAUGAAGUAUUUCGGUAUGUAAACUUCGAAAGAAUAGGAAGAAUAAAUGACGGUACUAUUUAUAAGGUCCGGCUAACUACGUGCCAGCAGCCGCGGUAAUACGUAGGGACCAAGCGUUGUUCGGAUUUACUGGGCGUAAAGGGCGCGUAGGCGGCAAUUCAAGUCAUCUGUGAAAUCUCCGGGCUUAACUCGGAACGGUCAGAUGAUACUGCUUUGCUAGAGUGCAGAAGGGGCAAUCGGAAUUCUUGGUGUAGCGGUGAAAUGCGUAGAUAUCAAGAGGAACACCUGAGGUGAAGACGGGUUGCUGGGCUGACACUGACGCUGAGGCGCGAAAGCCAGGGGAGCAAACGGGAUUAGAUACCCCCGUAGUCCCUG
rnacentral:rRNA from 1 species